AACGAACGCUGGCAGCAUGCCUAACACAUGCAAGUCGAACGGGACCUUCGGGUCUGGUGGCGCACGGGUGCGUAACGCGUGGGAACCUGCCCUUAGGUUCGGAAUAACUCCCCGAAAGGGGUGCUAAUACCGGCUAAUGUCUUCGGACCAAAGAUUUAUCGCCUUUGGAUGGGCCCGCGUUGGAUUAGCUAGUUGGUAGGGUAAAAGCCUACCAAGGCGACGAUCCAUAGCUGGUCUGAGAGGAUGAUCAGCCACACUGGGACUGAGACACGGCCCAGACUCCUACGGGAGGCAGCAGUGGGGAAUAUUGGACAAUGGGCGAAAGCCUGAUCCAGCAAUGCCGCGUGAGUGAUGAAGGCCUUAGGGUUGUAAAGCUCUUUUACCCGGGAUGAUAAUGACAGUACCGGGAGAAUAAGCUCCGGCUAACUCCGUG
rnacentral:rRNA from 1 species